UACGGGGGGGGGUAAGCGUUUGUUCGGAAUUACUGGGCGUAAAGGGCUCGUAGGCGGCCAACUAAGUCAUACGUGAAAUCCCUCAGCUUAACUGGGGAACUGCGUGUGAUACUGGAUGGCUUGGAUUUGGGAGAGGGAUGCGGAAUUCCAGGUGUAGCGGUGAAAUGCGUAGAUAUCAGGAGGAACACCGAUGGCGAAGGCAGGUCUCUGGGCAUUAACUGACGCUGAGGAGCGAAAAGCAUGGGGGAGCGAACAGG
rnacentral:rRNA from 1 species